rnacentral:rRNA from 1 species
AAUAUUUCACAAUGGAGGGAACUCUGAUCCAGCAACGCCGCGUGCGUGAAGAAGGUUUUCGGAUCGUAACACUCUGUCAUUGGGGAAGAAUAAAUGACGGUACCCAAUGAGGACGCCCCGGCUAACUUCGUGCCAGCAGCCGCGGUAAUACGAAGGGGGCUAGCAUUGUUCGGAUUUACUGGGCGUAACGCGCACGUAGGCGGAUUGGUCCGUUAGGGGUGAAAUCCCGGAGGUCAACGCCGGAACUGCCUUUAAUACUGCCAGUCUAGAGUCCGAGAGAGGUGAGUGGAACUCCUAGUGUAGAGGUGAAAUGCGUAGAUAUAGGAAGGAACACCAGUGGCGAAGGCGACUACCUGGACUGAUACUGACACUGAGGUGCGAAAGCGUGGGGAGCAAACA